GAGGCUAUACUUUCGGGGAUCAUUUCUAUAGUAUGUUACUAGAGAAGUUUCUCUGAGCAUGUAGAGUACCAGAAACCACGAGGAGGAGGCGCAGCGUUCCUUCCUGAGCGUGAAGCAACACCGGCUCUCGGUGAUGCUUUGCUUCAAGUGCCGCUUGCCAUUGAUGAUCGUUCUUGCUUUCUCCUUUGAGGGAGCAAGAGGGAAGGAACACAGCCUGAGUGGCU
ensembl:snoRNA